rnacentral:rRNA from 1 species
UAAUUUUAUAAUUAAUUUUUAUUAAUAUAUAAAUUGUAAUAAAUAAAUAUAUUUUUAGUAUUUUUUAAAGAAAUAAUACUUUUGUGGGUUAGUACUGUAAAGGAAUAUAUAAUAAUAAUUUAAAAGAAUUUUUUUAUGAAGUACCUUUUGUAUCAGGGUUUAUUAACUAAAACUUAUAUAAUAUAAAUUUCCCGAAAUUUAAAGAUAUAUACUUUAAUUAUUAUACAUGUAAUAAAUUGUUAGUAAAUUAAAGUAUAGUGGUUAAAUGCUAUUCAAUUUAAAUAUAUCUGGUUCUUUUAUAUUUAAAUUAAAUUUAUAAUUUAAUUGAUUGAAGGUAACUAAAUUAUUUUUCUUAAUUAAAUUUAAAUAUCAAAGGGAUAAGCUUUUGAUAAUUCUAUAAUUUAUUAAUUUUAAUUAAUUAGUUUAAGAUUAAUAUUUUCUAUAUAUAUAUUUUAAUAAAUAAAAUUAAAAAGAAAAGAAUUUUUUUUAAUUUAGAAUUUUAUAGAAGAAUAAUUUUUAAUAAUAUAAUGUUAAAAAUAAUGAUAAAAUUAGUAUUAUUAAAUAUAAAGUAUAAGAACUCGGCAAAUAUAACUUUCGAUUGUUUAAUAAAAACAUUUUUUUUUGUUUUAAUAAAAAAUAUAACCUGCUCAAUGAUUAAUUAAAUAGCCGCGGUGUAUAAUCGUGCUAAGGUAGCGUAAUAAUUUGUCUUUUAAUUAAGGUCUAGAAUGAAAGGUUGAACGAAAGGUUUACUUUCUUUACUUUAAUAUUUUGGAUUUUAUUUUUUAAUUAAAAAGUUAAAAUUUUUUUAUGGGACGAUAAGACCCUAUAGAAUUUUAUUGUUUAAGUAAUUUAAGUAAUUUAAUUAUGUAUUAUUUGUUUUAUAAAAAUAAUUUGGUUGGGGUGACUGUUAUAUUAAUUUAACUAUAUCUUAUUUAUAUCAUUAAUUUAUGAAUUAUUGAUCCUUAUGAAAGAUUAAAAGAUUAAAUUACCUUAGGGAUAACAGCGUAAUUUCUUUGGGGAGUUCAUAUCUAUAAAGAAGAUUGCGACCUCGAUGUUGGAUUAAAAUUAAUAUACAAUGUAGAAGUUGUAUUAUUGAGUCUGUUCGACUUUUAAAAUUUUACAUGAUCUGAGUUAAAACCGGUGUGAGCCAGGUUGGUUUCUAUCUAUAAAAGAAAUUUAAUAUUUUAGUACGAAAGGACCAAAUAUUAUGAAAAUUUCAU